rnacentral:tRNA from 1 species
GGGAGAGUAGUUUAAAUUUGGAAGAAUGAUACUUUUGUAAAGUAUUGGUACAUGUCUGUUUCUUCCU